rnacentral:lncRNA from 1 species
AGCUAGCAAAUCCACUUCUCACCCCUGACUUGUUUCAGUGCCGCCACCCUCGAGUUCUCUCUAGCGAUGGCUUCUUCCUUUCUAGAAAUUCUAUCCUUCCAUGCCGCCAGAGCCUUCUCUCUCGCCUUCUCAGCCUCUACUCUCACACUCUCACCAUCGAUCACUACAUUCUCUAACGAGUUCUUGCCACUAGAAAACCACCCCCUUGUACUGUGAAUGUAGCGUUUGCCACUAGCCCUGUGCUCUAGAGAUCCAUCCCUGACUCUCUCUAUCAUCGUUAUCCCAGCCGGAGCUUUCCGAAAGAGAUGGAAUCCAUCGUCUUCUUCCUGGGAUGGAGCAGCCACUGGACGAUCUGGCUCCUCCUCCGCGCGGAUAAUCUCCACUGUCUUGUCCAGGAAUUCGUGGAGGUGAUCUUGGAGCCGAACCUGGUAGAACUUGAGGUGAUGAUCGUCGGCGGCGCCUUCUUCUACCUGGCGAUCGAUUGGCCUAGCAGCGGAUGGAGUGAGAGAGCUAUAAUCCACGACGCAGCUGCGCAGCCGCUGCUCUUCCUCCUCCUCUUCGCUCGAUUCUUGCAUCGAUCGCUUUCUCAUCUCCAAAACCCUAGGAAGAAUGCGCUCACCUCUCUGGAUCCAGCAAUGCGCGGCCGAUCUAGACGAGCUAGCUCCGCUCCUCCAGCGCUCCAAGCUCGCAUCGAUCGAUCGUCUCGCUAGGGUAAAGCAUGGAGGAUGGAAAUAUUUCAAGGGUUUUUGGUGUUUGAAAGAGUCAAGAUGGGCGACAGGCCAGGCACUGGAUUCGCGACCGCGGCAGCGUCAUGGCGCCGGCGACGAGACAAUCCCAGGUUUUCUAGCUUCUCGAGUUCCAUGGAUGACGUUACAUUCUCUAGCAAUUCGGAGCCGCAAGGAAAGACUGCUAGCCUCCAGCUCUAUGGACAGAUCGAGAAGUAUGCUGGUGAAAGAAUUUCGAUGAAUUGCCUCGUUUUCAUGCUUUCUUUCCAGGGUUUUUGUGGACUCUGCGAUGAAAACACAAGGAACUCUUGGACGCUGGCAGGAAAUCCAAGUAAGCUCUAUCUGUUUUUUUUCUUUCGCGGAGACAGCACUGGUGAUUUUGUUUUCCUUCUCCAGGGAGCAUGGAUUCUAAGACCGAGCAAAGGAGAUCAGUUGCCCGUUUUGUGGGUGGUGCUCCACGGAUCACGUAUCGCUUGUUUCUGGAACGCCUUAUAGAGCCCUUAAGGACUAGCAACAGUUUCGGUGGGCAGAGAGGUGAGUUUUUCAUAUUGUAUAGAAUGAUUAACUCUUUUUCUUUUUCUUUCCAUGCAGAGGAUUCUUGAUCAUAACAAUGCUAUAAUGCCAUUUAUUUGUUAUGAUAGCACUUCAAAAGACAUUCUAUAUUGACCAUUUCACCUUUAAUAAGUGUCCUACUCAGCCACUUUAACCAUAUCAUAUCAUUUGUUUAAAUUAUUAUUUUGAAUUAAGGACAUUGUUAUUCAACCUAGCAAAGAGCUUAUCCUUAGCUAGCCAUAAGAUCACUUUGGGAUUUUAUAUUAAUACUUUGAUAUAGUUAGAAAUAGAUACUGUGUUUGCUUGACCCUUGGAGUUGUUGAUGCAUCCUCACACUCCACACUCCACAAUGCAUCUAAGUUAUCCCUUUCAGCCAAGGGUUUGUAGCAAUUAAGAUUAUGUAUCCCCAUCCUAUUCACUAUAUCUUCAGUGUCAUUUCCACUAAAGUAUUUUAGUUAAAUGUGUUAAAAUUUUAUAUUAAAUACACUAAUUAUGAACUUGAUGGUGUGUCCAAGCUAACAUCAUUAUUGAUAACCAUUGUUAAAUGAGUGUUCUUAUAUUUUAAACCAUUAUUAUACCCUAAUGCCCUUCAAACACUAAAGAGUUGAAAUUUUAACUUAACCUCUAUAUAUACAUCUACAGAUGGUAUUAUAUAGGAUGUUUGGCAUAACUUUUCAUGUUGGUACACCAAUUUUAUAUCCAUGCUAAUUAAUUUUUCUUUCUUAUAUAGGCUAUAGUUUAGAAAUUUUGUUCCUCCUAACUUCCAAGUUAUCUCACUGGACAAAUUAGAUGAUCAACUUAUGAUUAUGUAUAAACUCCAUGUUUGGUUUUACAAGUUUUCUUUUUUGAAGUCAACUCUUCAAUUAUGAACCUCAUUCUUUUGACUUGCUAAUCCCACUUAAUAAGUCAUUAAGUCAAUAUAAUAUAAUUUACUCCUAAGUAUCUAUACAUGUGAUUAUGGGAUUAUCACCUUAGAUCCUUGGAACCUUAAAGAAUAAAUAGAGAUAAAAUAACCACUAAAGGCUCUCUUAUGAAGCAAUUACCCUUUUUCCAAUUGGCUAAAGGGAAAGAAAUAGGGUGUGUUAUAUAUAGUAUUAGACCAAAUGGCAUAGGUUCGAAUUAUAUUGAUUAGUGGCUACUUAAAAUAUAAUAUACCUUUAAGCAAAGUAUAUUUUUACCACUAAAAUUGAAAUCGUGGCAUUCAUAAAUAUGUCUUUUGUCUUGGACGUAAAUAUCCACAAUAGGUGUAAGCAACCAAAAGGAAUGACUCGAGAGACAAUCUAUAGGGUUCAAAUGUAAAGGGAAAGGGCCUAUGAAUAAGAGUGCACCUUCUUUUCCAAUCGGUUAAAGGUCUUGGGAUACUUAGGGUUAAACAUCCUUGGGUUUGAAUAGUAUUGGGUUGGGUGACUUCUCGGGAAGUCUAAACUCAGGAGCUUACAGAGUGGUUUUAUGUCCGACUCUGUUGGUUGGAUAAGGGAAUCACACCACAUGUUGAUUGACAUCUGGCUGGUUCAAUUUGCUUCUGCUGGGCUCGACUCGAGGGGUAGGGUAUCAAGAGAGCAGGGCUCUCGGGAGAGCUGCGGCUCUCAGCUUCCAUUCACGAGGGCGUGAACUUGCAGGGAAGCGUGGUAGAUUGUAAGCAACAAAAAAGAACGACUUAAGAGACGAUCUAUAGGGUUUAAAUAUAAAGGGAAAAGGCCCAUAAAUAAAAAUGCACCCCAUUUUCAAAUCGGUUAAAGGUUUUGGGAUAUUUCGGGUUAAAUGUUCUUGGGUUUGAAUAAAACUGGGCUAGAUGACUUCUCGGGAAGUUUAAACUUAAGAGCUUACAAUGGGAUUAUAGUAUAAGUAGUCAUCGGAUUGGUUUCAAUCCAGACCACUCGCUCCUGUAUAUAAACUAGGGUUGUUGGGCUAAUUGAUAUGCACAUUUUCUGUAUUCCCUUUCCAUAUUCUAAACACUCACAACUCUAAAUUGUAUUUAGAUUUUUGUAAGGAAUUAAUCUGCUAGUAACCUUGUCAAAACUUGUUCAAUUAUGUCCACAAAUGGUUUGUUAAAUUGCCAUGUACUUAUAGAGUUACUUAUAGAAGGCAUAUUGCAAAAAACAGAUGUAUAUUUUAAAGGUAUUUAUUCUUUGUAGUCAUUCACCAUUUCCAAGUUUAAUUAGUCACUAUCCUCAGUGGCAUUCCAUGUUGCUAACUGCACAGUACAAGGCACUCUAGCCUGUCUCUGGCUCUGUCCUUGAGGCUCCUGUCUUGCUCGGUAUCGUUUUCCUCGUGGUCCAAAGCAUCCCAAACAAACAUAAUCCUAUCACCAAACUGGUUGCACCAGUGCUGGAGCGAAGGAACAGUCUUGUUUUCAUUGAUCACUCUUCCCUUUUGCAACUGUGGAAUUCUGGAAUGCCAGAAGCAGCCCAGCCCAGAGUGUCCCAAAAAAGUCGCAGAUACAAUCCCUGACAUUCAUGAACACGACAAGAGCCAUUAGCUACGAAGAUUGCACUUAGAAACCCUAAAGUGGAAAAGGUUAAUUUAAAUUAAUUAUUUUCAGGGUUUAGUAGAGCAGUGACUGAGUUACUCAUCCGCUUCUCGCUGCUCUAGAAAGCAAAUCUUCCAGAUCUGACCUUGUACAAAAAAUAAAAGCUAGCUACACAACGCUUGAUGUUACCUACAGUUCUAUCCUUCUGCCAUCUGGACACAAGGUCUUCCUCCACAAUCUGAGGGACGUACGAGAGAGCUCACAAAAAAAGCGUCACACUCGUAGCCUUUGCUCGCAAGCUGGGAAUGUAACACUUAAGAGAUGAGCAGGGAAAAACUUUCUGAGAUUCCAUAACUAGAUCUUCUACAAAUGGUUGACACCAGUUUCGUUCAGCCUUCCUGCGUUCAGAUCAGUCUCGUCUAAAGUAUGCUAGAAAUGUUAGAUGGUAGAAUAUGCUAUAUGGUUCAUUACUUUUACCCACUCUAAAACUUACAGAUACACUUUCUAGCUAAAUUCACCAAAAUCAGUCGCAAAUUACCACAACACAUCAAGUUAUUUUGGUGUCCCAAAACGUAUUUCUGGAUACUACAGAUAGCCAUGACAAAACCUCAAAGACAACCAUACUUUCAAGGAUAGAAGCACAUAAAUCAUGAGCAAACUUUUCAACAUCUAUGAGAUGCCUUUUUUGUCCAUAGACCUUGCACAAUUUUCACAACCAUUCAAAAUCUGAAGAUUAGUAUAUUUCCUAUAGUUGUUUUGUCAACCAUGCAGGGUCUAAAUCAGAAUUAAUAUACACACUUACAUACAUAUUCGUUACUCAGCACGGCUUUGUAUCGACAAUAGCAUCCACGCUGCGAUUUCUUCCACCAAGUUUUCGAUAUCUUCCAGAAGCUGCUGGCGAAGCCGCUGAGACGCUGGAUCAGAUCCAAAAGUCUGCCCAACCUCUUUGGCCACCCCUUCGAAAAGAGUGCCCGCCGCUAGCGAUGCUAGCAAAUCGCUUCCUCGCGUCACAGCGUCAGCCAUCACGCCAGGAACCUCGGGAAAUACCUGUUAAACUAUCAGAAACUUUGCAAGAACUGGAGUGUUUUCUUGGAGAGAAGUAUCACCUGCUGGAGAGGCCUGGCGUGAUCUCCAGAUAACGUCCUCACUGACAAGUCGAGGCUCAUGCUCACAGCAGAGCUCGAGCUCAAGAUCUUGGCCAGCUCCGGAGUUUCGUCGAUCACAUCGUCCUUGAAACGCACCAGUAGAUUACGUCUGAUGCCAUAGUAGGAUCUUAUCUGGACAAUUGACACAAACAUUAGCUCAAGCGUUUCAGCAAAAGCACGAGAAACACACACACACACACACACAAAAUAAAAAAAUAGUUUUGUACCAAUCUAGUUGCAUCUUCUACGGUUGGAGUGAAGUCUUCUUUACCGUUUGCCAGCUCCAUGUACAAGGAGGGAAGCUGCUCGACAAGAGGAAGGAUCUGCUUCACGAGUGGCGGACUGAGAGUUUCGAGUUGCCUCUUUGCCAUUUCUGCCUAUGAGAAGCAAAUGCUUAAAAACACACAGCGAUUGCAUGAAAUGUAGAACGAUUACCCCGAAGCGAACGGUGGGAGAGUUGCUGAUUUGUGUGAGGAGGGGCCCGAGGUUUUGAGCCAUUGGAACUGCAACCGGUGAGAACAAAGGAAUUGCUUGCUUGGCCCCCUGAACAGUGCUGGGAUGUUAAUUAUGCUUUUGAACGAGAAGAAUACACACCUUGUUGUUGAAAGACAUCAGAACGUUGCCUGCCCGUUCCACUGCAUAACGGGCUCCUGUGACAUAGACCAGAGUGAACACAGAACCUUCAAGAGGGUCGGGUCGAUGGAAUACAACCAAUAAGAAGAUGUACCAGUGCUCCUAGAGAAUGCCCGACACCAAAGCUAGGCAGUGAUUCCAACUGCUAACACGAACAAGCAGCUUGUAAGAUGCGUUACAGAAAAAAGAACCAAACUUACAGAUUGCUCUUUCAAGGCUCUUAUGCAGCGAUCAAACUUAAACUGCGUCUCGUCAGCGAUCUUCAAGUGGUCGAAGCCACUCGCGAAUGGCGUUGCUAUGAUCAAGAAUCCUCUGCAUGGAAAAGAAAAAGAUGGAGAGUUAAAAUCAAUACGAAACUCUCACCUCUCUGCAAGGCGUUCCAGAAACAAGCGAUACGUGAUCUGUGGAGCAGCUCCCACAAAAACACCACCCACAAAAUGGACAACUCCAACAGGAUCUCCUUUGCUCGGUCUUAGAAUCCAUGCUCCCUGGAGAAGAAAAACAAAAUCACCAGUGCUCUCUCCGCGAAAGAAAAAAAAAAAAGUAGAGCUUACUUGGAUUUCUUGCCAGCGUCCAAGAGUUCCUUGUGCUUUCAUCGCAGAGUCCACAAAAACCCUAGAAAGAAAGAACAAGCAUGAAAACGAGGCAAUUCAUCGAAAUUCUUUCACCAGCAUACUUCUCGAUCUGUCCAUAGAGCUGGAGGCUAUCAUUCUUUCCUUGCGGCUCCGAAUUGCUAGAGAAUGUAACCACGAGACGUCUUCCAGAUCUUCCCCUGGAACUCGAGAAGCUAGAAAACCUGGGAUUGUCUCGUCGCCGGCGCCAUGACGCUGCGACGGUCGCGAAUCCAGUGCCUCCCCUGGCAGAAGAAGCCGCGCAAUGAUCUCCUCCAGCUGGAAGGGUCGACAGUAGCGCCUCGCCCAUCCUGACUCUUUCAAACACCAAAAACCCUCGAAAUAACCAUGCUUUACCCUAGCGAGACGAUCGGUCGAUCGAUCGAUGCGAUCUUGGAGCGCUGGAGGAGCGGAGCUAGCUCGUCUAGAUCGUCCGCGCAUUGCUGGAUCCAGAGAGGUGAGCGCAUUCUUCCUAGGGUUUUGGAGAUGAGAAAGCGAUCGAUGCAAGAAUCGAGCGAAGUGGAGGAGGAAGAGAAGCGGCUGCGCAGCUGCGUCGUGGACUAUAGCUCGCUCACUCCAUCCGCUGCUAGGCCUAGAAUCGAACGCCAGGUAGAAGAAGGCGCCGCCGACGAUCACACCUCAGGUUCGCCUCCAAGAUCAGCUCCACGAAUUCCUGGACAAGACAGUGGAGAUUAUCCGCGCGGAGGAGGAGCCAGAUGGCUGCUCCAUCCCGGGAUGGAUUCCAUCUCUUUGGGAAAGCUAACGAUGAUAGAGACAGUCAGGGAUGGGUCUCUAGAGCACAGGGCUAGCAGCAAGCGCUACAUUCACAGUACAAGGGGGUGGUUUUCUAGUGGCAUGGCAAGAACUCGUUAGAGAAUAUAGUGAUCGAUGCUGAGAGUGUGAGAGUAGAGGCUAAGAAGAAGGCUCUGGCGACAUGGAAGGAUAGAAUUUCUAGAAAGGAAUCGCUAGAGAGAACUCGAGGGUGGUGGCGGCACUGAAACAAGUCAGGGGUGAGAAGUGGAUUUGCUAGCUCAAUUCCACGAAAUCGUGCGUCUUCUCUCUUGUUUUUUUUCGUUUCUUCUUCAUCAGAAGAGAAGAUCAAGGGGCCUUCUCAAAGGAGCAGCGAUAAUGUCAGUUAUUGUUUUUCGCUUUUCUUGACAACGCUGGGAGAAACUAAGCGUUGCUAGUUUAAUUCUUUCGUAUUCCUUGUGCUAAACAGGUUCACAAUGCGAACUUACAGGUUCUCGAUACAAACUUUCAGAUUUUUUAUACAUUAGCUUUGAGAACCCAGACCGAAGUCAGUCAACCACUCUUUGAGAUACAAAGACACGUUAUUGCCACCAAUCACUCCACAUAAUGGCUGUAUCGCCCCCUCAACUUUUUGCUGUUUCUGUGGGGCACCACUAGGGCGUUGACCGGUAAAAUAGUUGAAACCAAACUGUUCUAGAUCCUGCUCCGUAUGAGGCAAAACUGCCAGUCGCAGCAGUCCAUUCUCUGAAGCAAGAUUUAUAAGCCUGUUUAAACCUUCAUCUUCGUUUUUCC